CAGGUGCCUUGCUGAAAAGAUUUAAUCUAUCAGUAUCUUAGAAAAAUCAAAAAUUUCUAAAGAAUUUAAAGAAAUCUUAUUUUCUACUGAAGAUGGACCAAAAUGCACAUAAACAUAGAUAGAAAGCUUGCUGGGAACUCCAGAAGAUACCACCAAGAGAGAAAGGUCACGGUCCAUGAAAAAUCCCCUUGGAACUGGGUCGGCAUCAUCUGAAGAAGCAGUGGGACUUCUGAGGAGUGUCCUAUCAGAGACUAGAAGAUCCAGUCAGGCAGGGUAGGAGAAGGCCCUGGAAGCUCAGGGAAACAGCUCAGCGGAAACAGCUUACAGGGCUGGUCUCGGAACCCAAGAAGAACGGGAUCGAGAGCCCCAAGGGGCGGGAGGAAACGGUCUGGGUUGGACUGGCCUCCACUGCGGGCAGCAGAAAUGAAGCUGGAGGCACCAGACGGGACCGGAGACUGCUUUCCAAGGAUGACCUGGGAAUGGCCUCCUCCUCAACCAGCUGCAUGAGGCCACGUCGCCACCCCCAGGCCCUCAUGGCAGCUUCCUCGUGCCCAGAAGCAGGCUCUGGCAGCCCACCUGCCCAUCAUUUACGCCUCCUUGAGCUGGACUUUCACCUUGCUGGCUGGCCUUCCUGGUGUGCAGGAAAAUAAAAACAGUUUGUCAGCAGUAGACCUGGCAGAGUUAGAAGUGCUACUCCAGGGACUUCUUAAAGAUGAGCCUGUGCUUUCGCUUCCUGUUUGCUUGCUGAAUCUCUGAGCACAAGACUUGAAGUCACGGAAGCCUCUCACUUCAGCUUUCCCAACUCCGCGAGGGCUGAGGUCUUGGGCGCGGAUGCCCCAGAAGUGCUGGGUAGGCACUUGGCAGCCUCUCAGCCACAGCCUUGCUGGGCGCUGCUGUGCUGUGUGACGGGGAGAAAGGAGAACAACCUAGGUCAGAAGCGCCCGUUUCACUGGGUCCUGCCUCCCCACUGCUGUGAGGCUUGGGGAAAAUCACCAGGCCCCCUCCGACCCCAUCUGCUGAUGGAUUUUUGCUGCCCUGUCUUCUGAGUAACUCAGUGGCCUCCAGAGACCCCAGGCUCCUCUUCGGUGUCUUGGGAUUAUGUAAGGCCUGACUUUGUGCAUGAUUUAAGGAGAAAAUUGAGGCUUCCAUCAGACUAACUUUUAUUGGGAAAACACCAUUUUUGUACCUAUAUAUAGAGAGAAGCAAAUCACACCUUUCAUACCUAGUCCUUGAGAAAUGUGACAUUACUGAGAGUCUCUAGAGAGCUUGCUGUCCUGGCUUUCCAUGACACUCUCCAGCCAGAGGGUCACAUUGCAGCUGAUGUUCUCUUAGAACCCUCUUGGGGGGCCUGGUCUGGGUCCAUGGCCCACCCGAGUGGGGGGCUUCUCCAUCACCUUCUGCCAUCCUGAACCUUGACAUGGAAAGACUGGGCCACACGUACCUGUCCGUCAGCCAUUGCCACCUUCCUUCCACUCCUCCAGCAACGUUCCUGCCUCCAGCGCCGCCUUCUCCCACGCGAGAUUGGGAUAGGGAGCAGCAGAAGGCAAGUGUCUCCCCAAGCACAGCUUGCCCUGCGUGUGCUUUAAUUAAAAGCUCGGGUCUUUAACAACUGACUCUCCCCCAAAACCUCACUUUCCUUCCAGUUCAUCUCCUUAAAGGGCAGAUUCCGUGGGACAGAGAAGCUUUUGCCUCUCUGAUUCACAUUGUCUCAUAAUAUUCAGCCACCUAAUCUCAGGGACAAUGAAGAAGACAAAAUGCUCAUCCCACGUAGGGUGCUUGUUGGUGGCAACUCGCUCAUUGGUUUUGAAUGAGUCAGAUUCAUUUCAAGAUAUAAAAGGAAAAUGGCCCCCAAGUUGUGACAGGCACUCUGCCAAGAGUUCCAACUAUCUAUGGGUAUCAUCAUCAUCAUGUGAUGAUCAUAUUGACUGUUGAUAGUGUCCAGCAGUCUCGUGUGUAGGGAGAGGGGCCCCUCAGAGAGUAAUUGCUGCAGUCUGAAGAGUCUCUAUCCCACAGGUGGAGCAAUCCCUUGUCACUGCCCUGCAGGUGGCUGGACGGCUCCAUGUACUUCUCAGAUGCCAUUCUCUGCAGCCUCCUCAGAUUCAGGAACACCUCUGCCUCCCGAAGCAAUGGAGGGUCUCACUCAAUUCCACUCGGCUAACUUUACAGAGUUCCCUCCGUAAUCCUUGCUUGUGCUGCUGGAAAGAGAGAUGUUCCCUCUUCUCAAAGGCAUUCACGGCUUGGCAGUGCCCAUAGACACAGGAGAGAAUGAUGUUGGCUCUGGGUGACAUGCGCAAUGUAGGAAGAUGACAGACGUGGUUCACAAGGGGAAGGAGGGGUCUCUCUUGAGGAUCAAAAGAGGUCAUCACCCAGAAAAGUCAAUACUUGGGGUCCCAAGGAUGGAGAGAUGUCUAGAAUGCAAAGGACCCCGAUCAAAAGCCCAUGACCCUCUACACGAGGAUCCAGGGCUCUCUCCUCCCCAUCCACACCCCUGCUUUCCCAGGAAGAUCUAGUGUACUGUGGAGAUGGAAAACAGAAAGAUGACUGAGAUUUUACUUCGGAAAGGGAGGGCAUGACUAGCUCUUGAAAAGAGCAGAGUAGGCGGAGGCCAGAUGCAUAAUAAUGACACUGGACACAUAUAUAGCGCGCACCACCUGCCAGGCAGGGUUCUGACUAUGUGAUUGGUAUUCACUCCUCUAAUCUUUUUCCGGGUGAGAGGAUUGAACCCAGGGAUGCUCUACCACUAUCUCCAGCCCUUUUAUUUAUUUAUUUUUGUCAAGACAGGAGCUUGCAAAGUUACCCAGUCUGACCUCAAACUUGCAAUCCUCCCGCCUCAGCCUCCAGAGUUGCUGGGAUGACAGGCCUGCACCACUGUGCCCAGCUCACUCAUCUAAUAUUUGACAGAUAUGAACAAAAGUUUAAGGGACAGACCCAGAAGCACCGUGGCUAGAAAUGGGAGAGUAGGGCCUGGAGCCAAACAGGCCAGCCCUCGGCCUGACUGUCAGGAGACUACCAAGCCAGGAAUGUCCAGGCCAUGUUUGAGCUCUCUUUGGGAGCUGAGUUUGAGAGAGAAGGAAUAAAAUCCAAGGGAAAGGUAUUGUCCGAGGGAGGACAUAAAGGAACAUUGCUCUUCUUUCCCUCACCACUGCAGACAGUAUGGACUGGCUUUGGGCAUUGUCAAGGGCCACCAUUGAUUUUGUGACCCACAGCACUCCUUUUCCUUCAAAUGUGACUCUAUCAAGAUGAGUCCUUGCUGGGGCUUGAGUAUCACAAGGACAGUGCCAACCAUUCAGACAGGGCUGGCCAGAUCAGGGAGGAAAUGAGGAGGGGCCACAUGUUCCAGUGGGGGCAGGAAGCUUGCCCACGGACAUGGGAGCCGGGACCUCGAGGCCUUCAUCAAUAAGAGGUGAAGAUAUGGAUGCAAUGAAUUUCAUUUUCCAUCUCUUCCAGGUGUAGGCCAGAGACUCGGGGUCCAAACAAAACACUCAGGUACUCACAUGGGCCAAGAACUUGACCAGGUCACCACCGGCACCUGGUACGCCUUCCUUCCUUACUUCUGCCUCUUUCCUCCCGAGUGCCUUGGUUCAGAUGUUAGCAAGAUUUCCUCCACUGACUUUCUUCUUGUGCUUCGCAACGAUGGCUCAAUCCCAGCCUGUAAACCAGAGGCAACAGGCAUUUAGUUUUGUGGUGGUGGCAGGGGGGCAGGCAGAGACACAACUUUUUAGAAAUCAAAAGAGUGUUUGAUUUUAAUUGAACAACAUCCAGAUCAGAAACCAUGGGUUAAAAUUAAACACUGCAGAAUGAUAGAGAGCUGACUCUCCACGGCAGGGUCCAUUGAGUUGCCCAAGAGUCAACAGACUGGUCGUUCCUCAGGUCUGGGUUUCUUCUCUGGUGUGUUUACACACUGGUUUCUGGCAAGGGCAAAGUGUUUGCUUAUGACCUUGAAUAAAAUGCAGACAUCACCUCAUUGGGUCUCAUCAAAAGCAGAACUGGCCCGCCCAUUCAUCCUUGUCAGACCAGCAGCAGCAGCCAGGCUGGGUUAUCCAGGGUCACGGUUGGCUUCCUAGGGGAGGUAAAGAUUUUAUCCUUCAUUCUGCUAAAGAGGCUUGGGUACACUUGAACUCCAUGAUCUGUAAAUGCUUCAUUAAUACCCAGCACUCCCUUUAGAUUAUUUCUCACCAAGAUCAGGGAAUGACACAGACCUUUGGGGUGAGUCUGGACUUGGCUUUCAGGGGUUCUCAAAGGAUGCAGACUGAGCUCCUGCAGUAAUAUUCCAGUUUCAGUUUGAAGACCCCUCUUCCCUCUUUGCAAGCAAAGGUCUCACCUGGGAUUCAGGCUGUAUCCAGCACCCUCGUGCUCUCCUACAGGAAGGUGGUCAGGAUGUUAGAAAGUCCAAGGAAGAAAGGCCAGUAGGGCCCCUGCCCAUCUGCAAGUGGUAGAACUGUUUAUCCUCUCAGUAAAACCAGCAGAGCUUUGCUCUGCCCUCCACUGAAAAUUCCCCAGGGCCCUGAGCAGCCUUCCAGACUGUUUUGGAAACUGCUAGAAGAAGGGGUCUGUUCAACGUUAUUUACAAUUUAGUAAACCAUAGCAUUUCUCUGGUCUAGCCAGUUUCCUAACUGACCAGACCAAACUCGGCAAACUUUUCCACGGCUCAGCAAAUAUGGUCAGCUCACGCAAGAGCUGACUCUCCCCUUGGGCCAGUGUCUGAGCCUGAGCACACAGCCACCAUGGCCCCAAGUGACAUGCACACGGCUGGCAGUCACGCUCAGUCCCGAUUCUGUUGGGACAGACUGGGAGGGGCAUGUAGACACAGGAUGGCAUCCGAGUUGGGACUGACGUGCAUCAGAGAAACUGCUGGAGCCAGUGUGGCAGCAGACCCGUUCAGGUCCAGCCUGCUUUCCAGUUCUCUGCAGAGAAGCAGAACAGGACACAGAUUAAAACCCAAGCUUAGAUUUAAAUAAUUGUUUCAGCAAGAAUUACAAGAUGCUAUUUAUAAACACCUACAUUUUAGGCAAUUUUUUUAAAAUUCAUGUGUUGCAAAAGUAUUUAUAGUGAUUGAAACACUAAUCAACUCAGUUGUCUAAAGCUGGUGCUUUUCAAAAUUUAAUGUAUACUGAAAACACCUGAGCAUCUCAUUUUACCACAGAUUCCACCAGAAGGUCUGGGGCAAGACCUGAGAUUCAGCAUUUUCAGUCAGUUCCCAAGUGAUGUGGAUGCUGCACCUGAGUCUCGUAAAGUUGCACCUAGAAAACAUCAUAGGCUUCUUCUGUCCCCAGCCCACUCGUGCCUGUCUCUCUGACUUCAUUUCAGAUUAUAUUAUUCUGCUUUUUUCACUAGUGUUACGGUUUGGAUAUGAGGUGUCCCCAAAGGCAUCUGUGUUAGUGCAGGAACAUUCAGAGAUGAAGUGAUUGGACUAUGAGAGGUGUAACCUAAUCAGCCCAUCCCAGUUCCAAUGAACUGGGUGGUCCCUGUAGGCAGGUGGGGUGUGACUGGAGAAGGUGGGUGAUGGGUAGGUGAUGCAACCCCUUGCUACCUGUUUCUGCUUUCCAGCUGCCAGGAGGGGCGGAGCUUCCCCACACCACACCCUUCUGCCCUGAUGUUCUGCCUCACACACAGCCCAAAGUGAUGCAGUUGGCUGUCUAUGGACCGAGACCUCUAUUACCAUGAGCCAAAAUAAACUUUUCCUCCUCCAAAGUGUUCUUCUUGGGUAUUUUGGUCACAGCAACAUAAAAGCUGACAAAAACAAAGUAGCAAUAGAGAAUGAGCACCCUUCCAGAUCAACACCAAAAAUGUAAUUCAUUCUUUACACUAUAUGCCCAGAAUUCUUUAGGUAAAAUACUGUGGUGGUUUUCUUUUUUUGUUUGUUUUUGGCAGUACUGGGGAUUGGCACUUUGCCCCUGAGCUACAUCCUCAGUCCUUUUUAUUUCCAGACAGGGUCUCAUUAAGUUGCACAGGCUGACCUCAAACUUGUGAUCCUCCUGCCUUAGCCUCCCAAGUCACUGGGAUUACAGGCGUGGGUCAGCAUGCCUAGCCACAAUACCAUGACUUAUUCACCUUGCCUCUUAUUGAUGGAGAGUCAGUAUGAUUCUAAGUUAGGGGCCAUUUUUAAGUAUUUUCACCCUCUUCCUCUAUU